rnacentral:lncRNA from 1 species
CUGCCCUGCAUGGCAGAGGGAGUUCAUCCUCAGCUAGCUGAUAAUAAAACCUCUUGCAGUUUACAUCAGGUGUGGUUUUCUCUUGAGUCUUUGGGGUGCUGGCCAGCUCAUCCUGGGACUUGAGCAGAGGCCAAGCUUCAGGGGUCUUACAUGUGGGGGCUCGCCCACCAGGAUUUGUGGCCUACCCCAAUUCUCAGAGACCCCGCUUGGAGGUAGGAUCCUGUCUUUGUCUAUGUCUUUGUCUGCCGGCUGUGUUUGAAUUUGGUAUUCUCGGUUUGCAGUCGUCUGCGCUCGUGAGAGCAAUGAACUCCCUGUCUGGAAUGGAGGGGAGGGUUACUGACAGAUGUGUCAGGAGUAACCGGCUGCCACCCUGGGAGACAUCCCAGGAGGUCUGAGGGAGCUCCAGGGACGCCUGGAGAUCUCCCAUCAGGGUGUCAAGUGAGAGUGUGCUCACUCAGCCGUCUGAUUGGGUCCUGGUCUCGGUUAUUGUAAUUUUUUUGUGUGUACAUCUUGUUUGUUUCCCUGUAUGUGACUCUGACGAUGGGACAGACUAUUAGCACUCCCCUUGGACUGACUCUCAAGCAUUGGACUGAAAUUAAGACUAGGACUCACAAUCUGUCUGUAGAUGUCAGAAAGAGAUUUUAGAGAGCUUUCUGCUCUGCGGAAUGGCCAGCUUUUGAUGUUGGUUGGCCACUAGGGGGCACUCUUGAUCUGAUUGUGAUUUCUGCUGUAAGAGAUACUGUUUUGCAGAGGAGACCAGGGUCUCAACCAGAUCAAGUACCCUACAUUCUCAUCUGGGAAAAUUUACCACAGGACCCCCCUCAUCAUGGUUGAAGCCUUGGGUUCAGAAGAACAAGCCGGGCUCCUGAGUCCUAACUCUCCGUGACUCAGAGGAAAAAAAAACUAAGAUAAAAACAGUGGGGGCUGAACCACAACCCUCGGCUCCUCCCAAGAUCUAUCCAGAGAUAGAAGAACCUCCAGAAUGGCAUAACACCCCACCCCCAUAUCCCCAAUCAGUCCCCUGCCAGAUCUCUCAACAGGGUGCCACUAGAGACACAGCAGAGGGACCAGACUCAACCACCACUCUGCUUUUACAUACUUAUGGCCCUCCUCCAGCGGACCCCAGACAACUGCAGCCCCUUCAGUACUGGCCUUUUUCCUCCUCUGGUCUCUACAAUUAGAAGGCAAAUCAUGCCCCCUUCUCUGAAAACCCCUCUAGCCUUACUAAUCUAAUGGAAUCUCUCAUGUUCUCUCAUCAGCCCACGUGAGAUGACUGUCAACAGCUUUUACAGGUUCUUUUCACCACAGAGGAGAAGGAGAGAAUUCUGCUGGAGGCAAGAAAGAACGUGCUGGGGGCCAAUGGACAGCUGACACAACUUCUGAAUGAAAUAGAUGCAAGCUUCCCUCUGACACGUCCUAACUGGGACCCUAACAGGCCUGAAGGUAGGGAGCGGUUGACAAUUUUCCACCGGGCUCUGGUAGCAGGACUGAGAAGAGCUGACAGGCGCCCCACCAAUUUGGCUAAGGUAAGAGAGAUCCUACAAGGGGAAAAGGAGCCCCCAGCAGUCUUUUUAGAGUGCCUCUUAGAAGCAUACAGGCAUUACACUCCCUUUGACCCUAUGUCAGAAGGCCAGCAGGCGGUGAUGGCCGUGGCUUUCAUUGGGCAGUCUGCUUCUGACUUAGGAGAAGGUUACAGUGUCUAGAGAGUCUGCAAACAUUAUCUUUGCAAGAUCUGGUUAAGGAGGCAGAGAAAGUGUACCAUAAGAGAGAGACUGAAAAAGAAAAAGGAGAAAGAGAAAAGAGAGAGGCUGAGGCAAGAGAAAGUAGGCGAGAUAGAAGGCAAGAAAGAAAUUUAGCUAAGAUUUUGGCUACAUUCGCAGGUGAUAAGGAAGUUUAUAGAAAAGGUAGAGGAAGUAGGCAGACAGGGUACCUGGGCAACACAGGGCUGAGAAGAUCUCAGAACUCCAGAGGACCUUUACAACUACCUCUAGAUAAGGACCAAUGUGCAUACUGUAAAGAAAAGGGACACUGGGCAAAAGACUGCCCCAAGAAAGAGACAGAUACCAGAUCGCCCAAGGUCCUUACCCUGGAAGAUGAUGACUAGGGGAGAUGGGGCUCGACCCCCUCCCCGAGCCUAGGGUAACCCUAACUAUAGAGGAGACCCCCACGGAUUUCCUUGUUGAUACCGGAGCUGAGUUUUCAGUCCUGACAGAGCCACUGGAGAAAUUGAGGAACGAGAAAACCAUAGUAUUCGGGGCUACUGGUCAGAAACCAUACUCUUGGACCACUGAUAGGAAAGUUGAUUUAAGAAGAAGCCAGGUAACCCAUUCCUUCCUCAUCAUUCCUGAAUGUCCCACCCCAUUGUUGGGGAGAGACUUACUAUCAAAAUUAAAAGCCCAAAUAAGCUUCUCUUCGGAAGGAACUUCAAUCUCUUGGCAAGCCCCUAUCUCUAUAAUUUUAGCUUUAAAAUUAGAAGAAAAAUAUAGAUAACAUGAACCUCAAGCCCCAUUGAGAAAAGUACUAGAAGGGAUCUGGUUAGAGAGAUAUCCUCAAGCCUGGGAAGAGACUGGGGGUAUGAGAGAGGCAAAGAGGGUGCCCCCAUCGUUGUGAUGCUAAAAACUGGUGCGACUCCUAUCAGGAUACAACAAUACCCCAUGAGCAUAGAGGCCCGAGAGGGGCUCAGACCUCACAUUCAAAGGCCCUUAGAACUAGGUGUUUUAGUCCCUUGUCAGUCUUCCUGGAAUAUUCCGUUGCUACCAGUUACAAAGCUUUGCCACCCUGACAGCCCCACCCUGCCCCCUUACUAAAGAGACUGGGACUUUCUCAUAGACCCCCCAUACACCAGGAGGCCUUUAAAGAGAUUAGAAAGGCCUUGCUUAGUGCACCAAUCCUAGCCCUGCUGGACCUGACAAAGCCUUUCACUCUCUAUGUAGACGAAAGAGCAAGAAUAGCGAGAGGGGUCCUGACCCAAGCUCUGGGGCCAUGGAAACGACCUGUGGCCUACUUGUCAAAAAUAAUUAGACCCAGUGGCCAAUGGAUGACCUUCUUGCUUAAAAGCUACUGCUGCUGUGGCACUACUUCUCAAAGAUGCUGACAAACUGACUCUAGGUCAAUGAACUAUAGUAGUAGCCCCCCAUGCCUUAGAAAGCAUUGUUAGACAACCGCCUGAUCGCUGGAUGACUAAUGAUCACAUGACCCAUUAUCAGAGCCUCUUACUGAUUGGGAGAGUGCAGUUUGCACCCCUCUGCUAUCCUGAAUCCUGUCACCUUGCUGCUGGAAGCUGACGACUCCCUACCAGUGCACCAGUGUAUGGAUAUCCUGGCAGAAGAAACCUGAACUAGGAAAGACCUCACUGACCAGCCAUGGCCAGGCUGCCCCACCUGGUACAUGGAUGGUAGCAGCUUUUUGGUUAAAAGUAAGCGAAAAGUGGGGGCAGCAGUGGUCAACGGAAAACAAACCAUCUGGGCCAGCAGCUUGCCUGAAGGGAUGACAGCCCAGAGAGCAGAGCUAAUUGUACUCACCCAAGCCUUGUGGCUGGCAGAAGGGAAGAAUAUCAAUAUCUACACAGACAGCAGGUAUGCUUUCGCCACUGCUCACAUACAUGGGGGCGAUCUAUAGACAAAGGGGGCUACUCACAUCUGCUGGGAAAGAUAUUAAAAAUAAAGAAGAAAUCUUGAGUCUAUUAGAAGCCAUAUACUUGCCAAAAAGAAACAAACAAACAAACAAAAAAAAAAAACUGGCCAUCAUACUUUGUCCCGUCACCAGAAAGGCCUUGAUGCCAUAGUGAAGAGAAAUCAGAUGGCUGACCUGGCUGCCAAACAGGCGGCCCUAAGAGCUAUGAUCCUCAUAGCUAGAAAAAAAAAAAAAAAAAAAAAAAAAGAACUUAAGGACCAUUAUGAACUCAAAGAUGCAGGCUUUGACUAAACUCCAGAAGAUCAGGAACUAACAGGCAAAAUACCUGAGAUAUGUGGGUAUACUCCCCAGGGAGUGGCUAAGACCCAAGAUGGUUGCUCGGUCCUGCCCACCAAAGAAGGGCAACAAUAUGUAGCCAAUCUACACUGGCUCAUGCACUUGGAAACUAAGAAGCUCAAAGAAAUUGUUAAGAACUCAAACUACUAUGUUAUAAAACUGUCUGACGUUGCCCAGGAGAUUGUUAAUAAAUGCCAAGCUUGUGCCCUCAACAAUGCCGGGCACCACAAGAACGCCCCCAAAAGGUGGCUAAGAGGUGACUGGCCAGGGACAUACUGAAAAGUAGAUUUUACUGAAGUUAAACAAGCCAAGUACAGUAACAAAUAUCUAUUAGUUUUUAUAGAAACUUUUUCAGGGUGGGUCAAAGCCUUCCCCACUAAGAAGGAGACCGCCAAUGUCGUGGCAAAGAAGAUAUUAGAGGAAAUUUCCCCAAGAUUUGGCAUCCCUAAGGUACUUUCAUCAGACAAUGGCCCCUCCUUCGUUGCCCAGGUAAACCAAGGGUUAGCCAGACAAUUGGGGAUCGAUUGGAAGUUACAUUGUGCUUAUAGACCCCAAAGUUCAGGACAGGUAGAGUAGAUGAAUAGAACAUUAAAAGAAACCUUAACUAAAUUGGCUUUAGAGACCAGUGGGAAAGAUUGGACAGCUCUCCUUCCAUAGCCUUGUUCCAAGUACAGAACACCCCAGAGAAUUUAAACUUACACCCUUUGAACUCCUCCAUGGGGGACCACCCCCCUUAACAGAAGCAGGGGGAAUGUUUAACCCUGAUGUUCCUUUUCCCCAACCCCUGCUAGCUCGCUUGAAGGCGCUAGAACUGGUCAGAAAAGACGCCUGGGAAUUGCUGAAAAAAAUAAAAACAUAUGAACCAGGAACCACCUCGGUGCCACAUAAAUUUCAAAUAAGAGAUCCUGUCCUGGCGCUGCACCACCGUUCUGGCAACCUUGAACCCAAAUGAAAAGGAUCCUACCUGGUGCUUCUGACAAGCCCCACUGCCACUCCUCUAGCAUGCACCCGGCUCCCCCUCCCGGCCCCGCCACGGGCCACUAGCCUGGCCCUGUGCACAGGAACCUCCUCCCUCCCUCCUACCACUGACGAGAGACUCUCUAGUCUCAUUCGAGGGGCUUCUGAGGCUCUCAAUGUUACAAAUCCUAAAGCUGCGACCUCAUGUUGGCUUUGUUUGACAGCUGGGCCAGAGGUUUCAUUUUCCUAGUUCUAAGAUUAGAACUAUGUACUAGAAGGAGUGGGGAAUGUGAGUCCCCCGACUUAGAGCGUUUCUCCCUAGAAGGUAAAGCCCCUGGACAUUCCCCAAGCUUGUUUUCCCUGAUCUCUAAAAAUGCAGCCAGAAAGAAGCUCUUUGUUCUCUAUAGCCAGCAAAAAGCCUUUUUGUUUCUGAGCCUUACAGCCAGAGAUGCGAUAAUUGUAAUUUUACCAAGGACAUCCCGGCAGAGAAGAACACUCCUCCCAACUCUUCCCAACUCUCCUCCCAACUCCUCCCAACUCUUCCCAACUCCUCCCAAUUCCUCAGCUAGCUGUUAAAAAUCCCCUACUGUCACCCUGCUCGGGGUCGAACUCCCCUGCCCUGCAUGGCAGAGAGAGUUCGUCCUCAGCUAGCUGAUAAUAAAACCUCUUGCAGUUUGCAUCAGGUGUCGUUUUCUCUCGAGUCUUUGGGGUGCUGACCAGCUCAUCCUGAGACUUGAGCGGAGGCCCAGCUUCAGGGGUCUUACAGAAUGUCUGGGAAGGGAAGCUUAUUGGCUAAGGCCUCUAGGUAUCUCAUUAGUGUGAAAAACUCUAUUUUGGGCCUAUAUAACCACAGGAUACUUUUAUGUGAGAAGCAUGGCAUGUGUUCUAAGUCAGGAGUCUGGCAGGGACCUGGAAGUCCCCUAAGCCUCAGAUGUGUGUCCACAGUCUACUCUACCUUACCAAACUCCUGGCAUGUUUUCACAUCCCACAAGAAGUUACUUUUUUUAUUUUUAUUUUUUUGAGCCAGGUGGUAGGUCUGGUAAACAAGAAUAGCACUAUCCACAUAUUAUGAGAGGAUAGAUCUUUGUAGGAAAAUAAAUACACCCAAUGAGAUUUGCAGACUAAAAUAAGAGGGGCUUGUGCAUAACUCUGAAGAGUGACUAUAUGUGCAUUGAUGGAAAAAGCAAAAGCCACUGGAUGAAAAGGGCACUCUAUUGGUCUACUAUGGUGAAUGCUGUGCUUAUAUCUGUGAAUAAUAGGUAGACGUAUAUGGAUCGGGCAUUACUGGGCCCUGGGACAGUCUCUAAUUGCCCUUGGGUACUUAAGAAACUGCCAACCUGUGCAAUUUAGCUUUCAAAUAGGAAGAGCUGGGAUAUUACAGGGACUGGUGAGAGGAAUAAUAGGUGUUGUUUAAUCUAUGUUCCCAUAGUGGAUUUAUACCAGCAGUAGCUUUGCCUUGUCUGGUGUCAGAAAAGAGUUUAGAAUGACUUAUUUAUCUCUGUCUUAAUAGAGGUAGCUGUGUGAAUUCUUCCACUAUUCAUGGAGAACUGGAACCCUGACAGGCACCUCACAAUGUAUCCAAGGUCACCCUCAGACUGGUAUCUCCCUGGCUCUCUACCUCUUUAGUGCUGGAAUUGCAGGUGUGUGCCAAUGGCCCCUGGUCGGCCUUCCUUUCUUUCUUUCUUUCUUUCUUUCUUUCUUUCUUUCUUUCUUUCUUUCUUUCUUUCUUUCUUUCUUUCUCUCUCUCUCUCUCUCUCUCUCUCUCUCUCUCUCUCUCUCUUUCUUUCUUUCUUUCUUUCUUUUUUACAUACACACAAUAUUUUAUUUAGCCAUAAUGAAAUUGUCAAACUUGUAGGAGAAUUGAUGGAUCUGGAAUUAUUUUAUGCUGAGCAAAAUAAUCCAGACUCAGAAU